GACGAACGCUGGCGGCGUGCUUAACACAUGCAAGUCGAGCGGUAAGGCCUCUUCGGGGGUACACGAGCGGCGAACGGGUGAGUAACACGUGGGUGACCUGCCCUCAGCUCUGGGAUAAGCCUGGGAAACUGGGUCUAAUACCGGAUAUGACCUUUCCUCGCAUGGGGUUUGGUGGAAAGUUUUUUCGGCUGGGGACGGGCCCGCGGCCUAUCAGCUUGUUGGUGGGGUGAUGGCCUACCAAGGCGACGACGGGUAGCCGGCCUGAGAGGGCGACCGGCCACACUGGGACUGAGACACGGCCCAGACUCCUACGGGAGGCAGCAGGGGGGAAUAUUGCGCAAUGGGCGGAAGCCUGACGCAGCGACGCCGCGUGGGGGAUGACGGCCUUCGGGUUGUAAACCUCUUUCGACCCCGACGAAUUUGGACGGUAGGGGUAGAAGAAGCACCGGCCAACUACGUG
rnacentral:rRNA from 1 species